UUGUAGCCUGGCUUGUUUCACAAACGUGCUCAUAUUUCAAGUCUAGCCUGGCAUGUCCGGCUUAAAAUCCAGGCCCAAGCCUAUUUGAAGUGCUUUAGGCUUGAGUGGACAGAGCAGGCCGUCCGACUCAUGAACAAGUCUAGAUACCAGUCCGGCUACACAGUUUGAUCUAGUUGCUAUAUUAGGUCUACUAUAGACUAUGCAAUCUAAUAGCAAUCAAGAU
rnacentral:lncRNA from 1 species